GCGGAGGUAGCUAAGCCCGGCCCACGGCGCCGGUCUUGAAAACCGGUGGCGAUCCGCCUCGGGAGUUCGAAUCUCCCCCUCCGCGCCA
rnacentral:tRNA from 1 species